rnacentral:snRNA from 1 species
GGAUGUGAAGGUGAUCUGACCGUGACCUCUGUCACUCAAUUGACCAUCAGGGUUGAUUCGGUGGCUCUGGCUGGCUCUGCGGUGUCUCCUUCCUCCCUCACGGGUUCGGAAGAGAAUGACGUCCCUGAUGAAGGAGGUUCACUCUUUGGUCAAGGGUGUGAGUGGCUGUGCUCCUCUACUAAAGCCUCAAAAACAAGUUCUCUAAAAUCGUGACACUAGCUGGGCGGUGGUGGCACAUGCCUUUAAUCCCAGCACUCAGGAGGCAGAGGCAGGAGGAUCUUCGUGAG